GGUACCAAUGACUUCCUAAAGGUACCCAUGACUUUCUACAGGUGCUCAUGACUUUCUACAGGUACCAAUGACUUUCUACAGGUGCUCAUGACUUUCUACAGGUGCUCAUGACUUUCUACAGGUACUCAGGACUUUCUACAGGUGCUCAGGACUUUCUACAGGUACUCAGGACUUUCUACAGGUGCUCAGGACUUUCUACAGGUACUCAAGACUUUCUACAGGUACCCAUGACUUUCUACAGGUACCAAUGACUUCCUAAAGGUACCCAUGACUUUCUACAGGUGCUCAUGACUUUCUACAGGCACCAAUGACUUUCUACAGGUGCUCAUGACUUUCUACAGGUACUCAUGACUUUCUACAGGUAUUUCUACACUUACACAUGACUUUCUACACAAGCUCACCCUGUGCUGUCCAGAUCAUGCACUGCUCUACCCUUGGCCAAUCUCCUUACUAUAAAAAAAGCCUCUUGUGUAUCAGUAAGAGAUAUAGAAUGUGAAUACUUUGCUACACUCUUAUAACCCCACAUGCUAUUCACUUUUGUUCAGUUAGUUUAUUGAUAAGCUUCCUGGUUUUGUGUCUGUUGUUAUUUGGAGCAGAAUUAACCCGUCCGCUGCGAUUGGCACUGAUUUCGCCUUCACUGGUAGCCUGGUAACAUAACUCCCAGGUCUUUCUCUGCCCCUGUGGUGGAUAGUGGAGUGUUUCCCAUGUGGUAUUGGUAUGCUGAAUAUCCCUUCAGUGGUAGCCUGGUAACAUACACUCCCAGGUCUUUCUCUGGCUCUGUGGUGGAUAGUGGAGUGUUUCCCAUGUGGUAUUGGUAUGCUGGAUAUCCCUUCACUGGUAGCCUGGUAACAUACACUCCCAGGUCUUUCUCUGCCUCUGUGGUUGAUAGUGGAGUGUUUCCCAUGUGGUAUUGGUAUGCUGGAUAUCCCUUCACUGGCAGCCU